rnacentral:rRNA from 1 species
AUACGGAGGAUCCGAGCGUUAUCCGGAUUUAUUGGGUUUAAAGGGUGCGCAGGCGGGAGAUUAAGUCGGCGGUGAAAUUUUUCAGCUCAACUGUAAAAGUGCCUUCGAAACUGGUUUCCUUGAGUGUAGAUGUAGUAGGCGGAAUUUGAGGUGUAGCGGUGAAAUGCAUAGAUAUCACGAGGAACUCCGAUUGCGCAGGCAGCUUACUAAACUACUACUGACGCUCAGGCACGAAGGCGUGGGGAUCAAACAGGAUUAGAUACCCUGGUAGUCCACGCAGUAAACGAUGAUUACUAGCUGUUUGCGAUACAAUGUAAGCGGCUGAGCGAAAGCGUUAAGUAAUCCACCUGGGGAGUACGUUCGCAAGAAUGAAACUCAAAGGAAUUGACGGGG